UACAGAGGUCUCAAGCGUUGUUCGGAUUCAUUGGGCGUAAAGGGUGCGUAGGCGGCGCCGUAAGUCAGGUGUGAAAUUUCGGAGCUUAACUCCGAGACUGCAUUUGAUACUGCGGUGCUUGAGGACUGGAGAGGAGACUGGAAUUUACGGUGUAGCAGUGAAAUGCGUAGAGAUCGUAAGGAAGACCAGUGGCGAAGGCGGGUCUCUGGACAGUUCCUGACGCUGAGGCACGAAGGCCAGGGGGAGCAAAACGGGG
rnacentral:rRNA from 1 species